AUGACUGAUCACAUGACCAUACAAUUUUAAAAUGGAGAAAUAGUUGCUUGAUGGUGUUGCUACUUAAAACUCUUGUUCCAUCAUUGUUUAGGAUAAAGACAAAGACAUCAAGCCAACUAAGGAAGAGCCAGUUACCAUUCCAGUUAUGGUGUGCGUUCCCUCUUAGCCUCUGAGAACAAAGGACAUAGUGCCACAGACC